UAACGCGUAGGUAACCUGCCUGGUAGCGGGGGAUAACUAUUGGAAACGAUAGCUAAUACCGCAUAAGAGUAGAUGUUGCAUGACAUUUACUUAAAAGGUGCAAUUGCAUCACUACCAGAUGGACCUGCGUUGUAUUAGCUAGUUGGUGGGGUAACGGCUUACCAAGGCGACGAUACAUAGCCGACCUGAGAGGGUGAUCGGCCACACUGGGACUGAGACACGGCCCAG
rnacentral:rRNA from 1 species